AAGUAAAAACUACGAUAAAACUUUGUUUUGUACAUUUGAUGUGACCUGCCGUACAAGUGCUCAUAAAUUACUUCGAGUGUAAACUUUAGUAUAACGAAUAAUGUCACUAUUAUACACUUUACACGUGUGCGAAAUUAUUUUUACGUAUGGCAAAAAUGCGUGUUGUCAUCACCGUAGCGUACUAUAAAGUAAUUUUUAAGUAAACGCGAAUUUAUCAUUGCGUAUAGUUUUAUGUCGCAGAAAAAAAUUGUACCUG